rnacentral:antisense_RNA from 1 species
UGUUAUGGUGGCUGUGCGCGGGUGGCCUUCGGGCCAGCCGAUGUCCCUGACAUUUCGGUCUUGCAGGCCCGCGUACAGCUGCCACCCAU